UUGCAACCCACACCCCGACCUGGGCCAGUGUUCCAAAUGUAUCAAAUACUCUCCUCACCUUUAUGUUAUGAGAGGAACAUAAAAUGGUGCUGGAUGAGGUCAGAGAGGGGGCAAGUCAGCUUCACACACAAUCCCUGGCAGCCGGCACAGGCUGUUGGAGGCACAGCUGAACCAGCAGUGGAUCCUAAUUGGGAUGCAGUGCUGGGGAGAGGCCAAAACUUGAACAUUAUGGAGAUGGCAUUCUUGCAAGAUUGUGAAGAGGGGGCCGAAACAGAGACGUCUGAGCAAAGUUCAGGAGGUCAAACAGAAACCCAGUGGAGUUUCUUCAGAAUUUCUGGAAAGGAUCUCUAAAGCCUCUAGGCAUAUACACAGCUAUAGACCGUGAAGCCUCGGGAAAUUUAAAGAUGGUUGAUGGGUUAAAGGCCUGGGACUUUUAUUGGUCAGAGAACCCUGUAUAUAGAGAGAAAGAUCCAAGAGUUGAAAGGGGCUUUAGGGAUAUGCCUAUGUCUCAAGUUAUUGAAAUUGCCUUCCAGCUUUUACUGGCAGGGGCCAGGUUGAGGAAGAAAGGGGAACAAAUGGAGAAUGACGUAACUGGCUACUCCACUGGUGGCUGCCUUAACACAGGACGAGCUGGACCAAAUCGAGGAACCCACAGGGACUUAGCAAGAGGUUCUUGGAAAUACCAUCUGGCUGUCCUCCAUGUAGAUGGUCUUCUUUUUGUGGUAAGAAAUAGGUAAGGUAACGUCAAUAUAUCCUGCCAAUAUUUUUCAGAAUGUCUUGGGAACAGUGCAGUAAAACUGAUCUCUCAUUGCUGUUAUGAAAACAUAAAAUGGGUAGGAAAUGCAUCACUCUGAAACUGGGCGACAGUCACAGUGUACUGAACUAGCUUAUACAAGAUUGGAAGACUUGGAGCUCACAAAUGAU
rnacentral:lncRNA from 1 species